UUCCUCUAGCACAUGCCAAUUUCUCAGUCAUAAAUGAAAAGUUCUGAGGUCCCUUUCUCUUUCAUUGGCAUAAUUUAUGUUUCUGGGACAGACCUCACUUUUUAUUGAUUGCUUGUAUAUGAUAAAGAAAGUAUCCCCCUUUUAUUUUUUUGCAAAUUUACUUUUUCAUGUCUAUUUAUUUUUCCAUAUAAUUUUUAAUCAAUUUGUCAAAAGCUCCAAAAAUCCUAUCAGAGAAUUUAUUAAAAAUACAUUGAAUACAUAUCUAAUUUGAUGGCAGCAGUUUUAAAAUCCUGUAUUACUCCAUAAAUGAACACGAUCUAUUUGAUUUAGUAACAUCUUAUUUUAUAUCUUUUAAUAGAGUUUUUGAGUAGUCUGAAAAAAUUUUUGUGCAUCAUUUAUCUUAUAUACACAAUGGUAUAUCGCUCAGCCAUAAAAAAAGAACAAAAUCUUGCAAUCUGUGACAACAUGGAUGGAUCUAGAGGGUAUUAUGUUUAACUAAAUAAGUUAGAGAAAUACAAAUACUGUAGAUGUCACUUGUAUUUGGAAUCUAAAAAAGCAAAACAAAUGAACAAACAAAACGGAAAUGAAGACAUAGAUACAGAAAACCAACAGAUGCUUGCCAGAUUGGGAGGGAUUGGAGGGAUGAAUUAAUAGGUUAAGGAGAUUAAUUGGUACAAACUUCCAGUUACAAAAUAAAUGAAUCAUGGGAAUCAAAUAUACAGCAUGGGAAAUAUAGUCAGUAAUAUUGUAAUACCAUGGUAUAGUGACAGAUGGUAGCUAGACUUGGCAUUGUGAUCAUGUUGUAACAUAUAGAAAUACUGAAUCACUGUGUUGUAUACCUGGAACAAACAGUGUGGUAGGUCAGUUAUACUUCAGUUAAAAAAAAUUAAUAAAGAAGGAAAGAGGAAAGAAAGAAUUGCUAUAUGACACCACAUGAUCAAUUUUCUUAGACAUUUUUUGUGUGCUUGAGAAGAGUAUAUGUUCUUUAAUUCCGAGGCACAUUUUUCUAUGUUGUUUGACUGCACUUACUAAUUUGUGUUGUUCAAAUCAUAUAUAUAUGCAUAUAUAUAUGUUUCUGAUCAUAUGGUUUAUUCAAUCUAUGAAUUCCUAAGAAAGAUAUGUUAAAAUCUUUCACAUGAUGAUCUAUUUUGUUAAUUUCUCUCCAUAGUUCUGACAAUUUUCACUUUAUGUGUUUUGAGGCCAUAUUAUCAGGUAUAUACAAGUUUAACAAUUGCUAAAUUAGACCUUUUGUCUUUAGCUAAUUAUCUUCUUUAUCCUUAGUGAUGUUUCUUUCUCAAACAUCUAUUUUUACUUAUUUUAAUCCAUGCUUUAAUUUCUUUCACUAACAUGAGUUAAUUAUCAGCAAUGAUCUCUUUAAACACUGUUUUUGCCCAGUUCUCUUUUCUCUUCUUCUGGGACACCAAUUACACAUAGAUUAUAACUUUUCAGACAGUAUCACUGAGUCUCACUAAGUUUGGAAGUCUGUAUUUUUCAUUCUAUCUGUGAUUUUGUUUUUGUCUUUUUGUUUUCUGAGGGCCAGACCUGUGGCAUGUAGAGGUUCUGAAGCUAGGGGUCUAAUCAGAGCUACAGCUGCCAGCCUAUACCACAGCCACAGCAAUGCCAUAUUUGAGCUGUGUCUGUGACCUACACCACAGCUCACAGCAAUGUUGGAUUCUUAACCCACUGAGCAAGACCAGGGAUCAAACCCGGAACCUCAUGGUUCCUUGUCGGAUUUGCUUCCCCUGAGCCAUGAUGGGAAGUCCUGUCUAUGAUUUUUAAUUUGAAUAUUUAUUAUUGAUUUGUUUGUUGCUGUUCUAGCUUCCUUUCAAACCCAUGAAAUUAGUUAUUAAUUUCAGAUACUGUACUUUUCAAGUUUAUAAUUUCUAUUUCAUUCUUUUUAUGGACUUCAAUCAUCUUGUGUUAGUCUCUAACAUUAAAUCUUCAUUUUAAUAUAUUAGUAAAGGUUAAAGUCCAGGUGAGUUAACUUUAACAAAUGAAUCACAUGUAGACAUGUUUAUAUUUUGGGUUUUUUUUCCUUUUGGAUUUUAGUCAUAUAUAUAUUUUUCUGUGUCUAGUAUUUUUAGAUUGAAUACUGAACUUUUUAUGUGAAAAUUAUGACUGUUCCAGAUGAUAGUGUCUUCUUUGAGAAAUAGCUCACAUUCUCUGUACUAGGCUAAUAGAGUGGUACUGAUCUUAAUCCAACUAGGAACAUGCCAAAUCAAAGCUAUAGUCAUACUAAUAUCAUACUGUUUUGAUGAUUGUAGCUUUGUAGUAUAGCCUGAAGCCAGGGAGCCUGAUUCCCUUAGCUCUGUUUUUCUUUCUCAAGAUUGCUUUGGCUAUUUGGGUUUUUUGUGUUUCUAUACAAAUUUAAAAUUUUUCAGUUCUGGUUCUGUGAAAAAUGUCUUUGGUAGUUUGACAGGGAUUGUACUGAAUUGCUUUGGGUAGUAGAGUCAUUUUGACAAUGUUGAUUCUCCCAAUCCAUCUGUUUGUAUCAUCUUUGAUUUUUUUCAUCAGUGUCUUAUAGUUUUCACAGUGCAGGUCAUUUGCCUCUUUAGGUAGGUUUAUUCCUAGGUCUUUUAUUCCCUUUCAUGCCAUGGUAAGUGGCAUUAUUUCCUUAAUUUCUCUUCACAGAAAUAUAGAUCAGUGGACAGAGUAGAAAGCCCAUAAAUAAACCCCCACACAUAUGGCCAGUUAAUCUACUACAAAGGAGGCAAGAAUAUAAAAUGGAGAAAAGACAGCCUCUUCAAUAAGUGGUGCUGGGAAAACUGGACAGGUGCAAGUAAAAGAAUGAAAUUAGAACAUUCUCUUACACUAUGCACAAAAAUAAACUCAAAAUGAAUUAAAGACCUAAAUGUUAAGGCCAGAUACUAUGAAAUUCGGAGGGAAAUAUAAGCAGAACAUUCUUUGACAAAAAUUCCAACAAUAUCUUUUUGGGUCUGCCUCCUACAGUCAUGAAAAUAAAAACAAAAACAAACAAAUGGGACCUAACUAAACUUAAAAAGCUUUUGUACAGCAAGAGAAACCAUUAAAAAAUGAAAAAACAAUCCACAGGAUGGAAGAAAAUCUUUGCAAAUGAAGCGACUGACAAAGGAUUAAUCCCCAAAAUAUACACACAUUUCAUACAGCUUAGCUUUAUAUUAAAAAAACCCAAUCAAAAAAUAGUCAGAGGAUCUAAAUAGACAUUUCUCCAAAGAAGACAUACAGAUGGCCAAAAAUCAUCUAGAUGCUCAACAUCACUAAUUACUAGAGAAAUGCAAAUCAAAACUGCAAUGAGAUACCACCCCACAAUAGUCAGAAUGGCCAUCACCAAAUAGUGUACAAACAAUAAAUGCUGGUGGAGAGGGUGUGGAUAAAGGGGAAACCCCAUAUACUGUUGGUGGGGAUGUAGGUUGGUGUAACCACUGUGCAGAACAGUGUGGAGGUUCCUUAAAAAACUAAAUAUAGCACUACCACAUGAUCCAUCAAUCCAACUCUUGGGCAUAUACCCAAAGAAAACCAUAAUUUGAAAGGGGACAUAUACCCCAAUGUUCAGUAUAUGUUUACAUAUAUAUUUAUAUAAAUAGUUAGCAACAUUUACAAUAGUCAAGACAUGAAGCCAGCUAUAAGACCAUCAACAGAGGAAUGGAUAAAGAAGAUGUGGUACAUAUAGCCAAUGGAAUAUUACUCAGUCAUAAAAAAGAAUGAAAUAAUGCCAUUUGCAGCAACAUGGAUGGACCUAGCGAUGACUAUCAUACUAAAUGAAGUAAGUUAGAGAAAGACAAAUAUCAUAUAACAUCACUAAGUGGAAUCUAAUUGAGAACGAUAUGAAAGAACUUAUUCACAAAACAAAAACAGACUAAAAGAUUUUGAAACCAAACUUACAGUUACCAAAGUGGAAAUUUUGGGGGGAGGGAUGGACUGGGAGGAUGAGACUGGCAUAUACACACUACUAUAUACAAAACUCAUGGGAAACAUGGACUCACUCUAUAGCACAAGAAAAUCUAUUCAAUGCUCUGUGGUAGCCUAUAUGGGGAAGUCUGAAAAAGAAUGGAUAUAUAUGUAUAUGCAUGGCUGAUUCACUUUGCUGUAUACCUAAACUAACACAACAUUGUAAGUCAACUAUAGACCAAUAAAAUUUAUUUUUUAAAAAAAGCAUGAGGAGUAUCUGCUGUUGUGCAGUGGGUUAAGGAUCUGGCAUUUUCUCUGCAGCAGCUCAGGUUACUGAAGAGGUGCAGGUUUGAUCCCCAGCCUGGUGCAGUGGGUUAAGGAUCCAGCAUUGUUGCAGCUGUGUUUUAGGUUACAGGUGGGGCUCAAAUUUGAUCCCAAUAUUGACCAAGUCCAAAUAAGUUAAAGAGAAAAUACAUUAAAAAGUUUUCGUUGACCACAUUUGAAAUCAGUGACAAAUGUAUGACUAGGAAAUCUCCCAAAUAUUGAAAAAUUAAAGCACACUUUCCACAUUACCCAGUGAUAGAAAAAAAUCACAACGGAAAUUAUUAAAUAAUUUGAUCUGACUAAAAAAGAAAAUGCAUGUAGAAUAUAGGUAAAAUAGCUCUUAAAGGGAAAUUUAUGACAUUAAAUACUUGAAUCAGAAAAGAAGUUUCCAAAUUAAUUAUCUAAACGUCUACCCUAAAGGAACAAUUUAAAAAAAAAAACAAAUUAAACCUAAAAUAUAGAAGAAAUUAAAAGAUAAAAGAAAUUAAUUAUACAGCAAAACAAUUAAGAAAAUAAAUUAUUUCUUAAUUAUAAGAAAUAAAUAAUUAAGAAAAUAAAUGACGUUUAAGAAUUAUAUACAAUUGAUAAACAUCUACCCAGACCAAGCAGGAAAAGAAGGGAGAUGAUACAAAUUAGCAAUAUCAGGAAUGAAAGGGACAUCACCACAACCUCUACAC
ensembl:lncRNA